rnacentral:lncRNA from 1 species
CCGUGUGUCUGAAAACCUGGCCCACUCUGUAAAUAAAGGCUCCACUAGCGUCUGACGAUACGCUCUUCUCCAGCAUGGGGAGGCAGUGCCAAAGGCAGGCUGUGGAACCACGCUAAUCCUCUGCAGCAGGUAAGAAAAAAGGCACGGGGCCAGCACACUCAAGAAAGCAAGCAGCUUCAGGGAGCAUGCCUUUGGGAAAAAUCUAACUACAUGGAAAACUGCGUCAGAAGAUGCCACUGUAAACAGUCACACACUGAAGAAACUGAGAAGAGAAAAAUGAAGACUGCAGUGAGACUCGGGCUGAGUUAUUAAAAAAGGCAGUAAUAACUGCUGACUGGUCCAGUCAUGAUGAAGUGAUUACUGUCAAGACUAAUAGUAAAAAUAAAAAUUGGG